rnacentral:rRNA from 1 species
GCGUGCUUAACACAUGCCAAGUGCGAACGGUGAAGCAGGAGCUUGCCUUGGUGGAUCAGUGGCGAACGGGUGAGUAACACGUGAGCAACCUGCCCCCUGACUCUGGGAUAAGCGCUGGAAACGGCGUCUAAUACUGGAUAUGUGACGUGACCGCAUGGUCUGCGUUUGGAAAGAUUUUUCGGUUGGGGAUGGGCUCGCGGCCUAUCAGCUUGUUGGUGAGGUAAUGGCUCACCAAGGCGUCGACUGGGUAGCCGGCCUGAGAGGGUGACCGGUCCACACUGGGACUGAGACACGGCCCAGACUUCCGUACGGGAGGCAGCAGUGGGGAAUAUUGCACAAUGGGCGAAAGCCUGAUGCAGCAACGCCGCGUGAGGGAUGACGGCCUUCGGGUUGUAAACCUCUUUUAGCAGGGAAGAAGCGAAAGUGACGGUACCUGUCAGAAAAAGCGCCGGCUAACUACGUGACCAGCAGCCGCGGUAAUACGUAGGGCGCAAGCGUUAUCCGGAAUUAUUGGGCGUAAAGAGCUCGUAGGCGGUUUGUCGCGUCUGCUGUGAAAUCCCGAAGGCUCAACUCGGGCCUGCAGUGGGUACGGGCAGGACUAGAGUGCGGUAGGGGAGAUUGGAAUUCCUGGUGUAGCGGUGGAAUGCGCAGAUAUCAGGAGGAACACCGAUGGCGAAGGCAGAUCUCUGGGCCGUAACUGACGCUGCAGGAGCGAAAGGGUGGGGAGCAAACAGGCUUAGAUACCCUGGUAGUCCACCCCGUAAACGUUGGGAACUAGUUGUGGGGUCCAUUCCAC